AAAGAAAAAAAGUUGUCGUCAAAUGCAACUAAAAUAAAGAUAAUCAACAAAAACAAUAGAGAGGGAGGUAAAGAUGUCAUCUUACCAGGAUAAGCCUAGGGUAAAGUCUGCAUCGUAGUCACUCCAUCUGUCUGGAUAUCAGUGCUCGGGGUCACAAUCUGGGGUUGGGCAUUAGUGCCCGAUGUAACAUCAACACUUGGUUACAAAUGUUACUUAUUUUUUUUUAAUCCCUACAGUUUAAUAUACACAUUAUUUUACUACAUAUUUACACUCGGUUACUAUCUCAUUUUAUUUUUUUUUAAUUUUCUUUCAUGUCUUACUUCUAUAUAUAAAUAAAAUGAAAUUUUUUCAUAUCUUUUAAAUUCAAUAUUUAUUUUUGAUACAUUUAUAUAAGACACCUCUAUAUUCUUCAACAUAUAAAAUUGUCAUACAUUUUUAGUACAUUUAUUUAUUACCGUAUGAUAAACAUACAACUAUUAAUUUUAUUUAAUAGACAUAUAUAUGUCGUACCUUGUAUUUUACUCUUUUUCUUAAGCUAAUAAAAUUUACUUACCAUUGAUUUUAAAGCAAAUAAAUAAACAAGUUUUUCUAAUUAUAUUUUUCUAAUUUGAGUUUAAGGACUAUCUUCGGAUAGGCUCUGAGGGAUGCUUAAACCUUCCCCUCGAGUAACCCAAACCCUUAUUCAGAAUUUCACUAGUUUCGCAAAUCAAAACAGAGUUUACAUUUACAUAUUUAAAAAAGGUUUCCUAAUAUUUCCUUAAAUUUAGGUGGCAACUCUAAAACAAUUUUUUUUUUUCUAAAAUCAGAGUGUUAGCCAUAUUAUGUUGUGAACUGUUUCUGCUAGUUCGAAAUAGGGGGUCGACAACUUGGCGACUUUGCUGGGAAACUUACUUAGGUUUUAACCUUAGAAAACUUAAUUUAGGAAUAAAUUUUGUGAUUACUUGUUUAUUUUCAGCUUAUUAUUUGCUUUGUUGAAAUGAUAUAUUGUUUUGACUGAAAGGUCACAAGUUAAAUCCAAGCCUGUGUUCCUUAUUUGUUCUAAAACACUACUUGUUUUUGCUUCCCUACACUGUCAUUUGCACUUUCUGUAGAGUCUUUGGUCGUACACAAACACACACACUAUACACGCGAGGGGUGUUCCUAUACUCCUCUAAAAUUCUCUUUGGAUUCCUUAGUUUCAGAGUUGGUGCAAUUAAGAUAGUGCGCAUUCUCGCAAUUACUCAGUCCCACUCUCAAUCAUCUAGGGAAAAAAAAUCCUACUCUUGAAAUAACUCUUGUUGCAUAGCCUAAGGAAAGACAAUAUAAGGUAUUGUCAUUGCAUUUAGGAAACCACUCAAAUGUCAAUGAGUUUCUUCUUUAAAACUCGAAGACAUAAACUUUGUGUGAAAUUGAUAUAAAUUAUCCAAACUAAAACACUUAACGGAUUUGGAGCAAAUAACUCAUCAUACCCUUUUAUCUUUCUUUCAGAUGCAAAUCAACCAAAACCUUCCUAAUAUCAGGAUGAUGACUGAGGUCCCCCGAACUUUGAAAGAGUGGUGGGGAAACAUCCGAGUGGCAUACGGAAAUGAGAUUAUGCCACACCUGCGGUCAUUAACUGAUCUAUUGAAUGUGGAGGCAAACAAGUCACUCAUUACUCUAAUGAUUGAAUUUUGGCAACCAGCAACAAUGACUUUCCAGUUCGCAGAUUUUGAAAUCACACCAACACUGGAAGAGAUAAGUCAAAUUGCUUAUUUACCGUUGGCUGGCAGAGAACCCUUGGCCCCGCGCACUACAUCGGGAAUUAGUUUUCUCCAGUCUUUGGGUUUGAGGGUAGGCCCAUGUUUGUGAAAAGCUGACAAGGGAUGGGUCAAGUUGGAUUAUCUGUUUAAAAGGGUUUGUCAUCGAGAUAGCUAUGAUAAGUUCCAGCAAGAAUUCUUCAUCUCUAGAGUUGUUUGGGAAAGGCACAAGGCUAUUUUUUCGUGAUGGCCUUUUUGGGUAUUAUGAUCUUCCCAAAGAAAAAAGGUUGUGUUGAUAUCAACCUACUACCUAUGGUCAUCUUCAUGUUUAGGGGACCUGUUACAGUGACCAGCGUACCCAUGACCGUGACAUAAAUAUUUCGAUCACUAUCCCUCUGCUCUAGAGGAUAUGAUCACUUUAAGGGAAGUAACCUUUUGUUACAGAUUUGGGUGUUGGAACACUUCUAUCAAAGAUAAGCAGAAAAUGACACUGAAGCAGACUUACACAACAAAAUUAGGAGCCAUGCGAUGAGAUUGAGCACGUGGGAUUCCCCAAAUAAUGAAGAAGGUUGGCGUCUUUUCCUGACCCACCUCACAGGGAACCGUAUUCAAUGGCGACUACCAUGGGUCCAUGGACUAGCUUUGUUGAGAGCUAACCAGGCCUAUUUCAUUGAGUUGAUUGGGUUGGAAGGCUUCCAGCCUUAUGCACCUCUAAGAGUCCUCCGAUAGUUUGGGAUUACCCAAGGCAUUCCCUCUAAUGGGUCAAAAUAUGGCAUUAUAGAGGUCGAUUAUGAAGGAAGAAUCCCGAUCGAAAGGAUCGCUGCUUUGGUACAAUGAUGGUGUGAUAUUCUCGACUCAGACAUGGGGGUUGAGUCAUGGUGCACGCCUGAAUAUUAUACUUGGUUUAUGAUGGGAGAAAUUCUCGCAAGACCUAGCUAUGAGGGAAUCUUGGAGUUCACAGACACUCAAAGAUCAAAUCAAAUUGGCACGGAGCUAUUGAACCUCAUGCACAUCACUAAAACCAUGUAUCAUAAGGUGACCCCAUGAUUUGUCGACCAUCUCAUACAGGUAGUUGAUGAUGAACCAAAUGAAGAAAUGGAGGAAGACCUAGAAGAGGAUCCUAGAGAGUUAACUGAGGAGAUGGAAGGGGAUUCAGAAGGAUAUUUAGAGCAUGACCCAAAAUUGUAUGACCCUGGAGAUGGAGGAGUGAUGAAUAUGGAGGAUGAACCUGUCCCAAUAGUAGAAGUCGCUCACUCGGAAUAUGGUUCUAUAGGGUUUGAUGAAAGGGAAGAUUCAAACAAUUGGGAAUAGAAGAUCGACGAAUCCCCAGAGUACCACCCAGGGCCAUUUUAUGAUAGGGAUGAUGACAGUGAUGAUGCCGUAGGUCGUCUUUCUUUUUCGAGCUCUCUCCUCAAAGUGCCGUAUGGCCUAUCCCUCUUAUAUACCCUAUGGCCACCCCCGUACUUUCAUUUCUUAGGCUUCUAAUCGCCUACCUCAAUAUACAUCCAAGACUACCUUAAUCAAUGAAGUUAUGUAUGCUCCAAAUUUAAAAUGUGUUUAAAUGGAUCAUUUAUCAUCAAACUAAUUGCAAUGUAGGCCUACCUCAACCAAAAAUAGGCUCUAUAUUAGGACGCGUUUUGAAUGUCGCCAAAUUGGAGUAUAUAUGUGUUACACUUACAUAUUUGUUACAUAUUUCAAUAUUGCCCAAACUAACAUAGUUUUCUCUUUUACUUUGUUUUCUCUUUUUCUUUGUUUUCUUUUCUUUUUCAUCAUUUAUCCCCUAAAGAACGUUGAUUUUUGUGGACUUUAAAACUGGCUGACUCACGAUACAACCUCCGAUCCAAAGGGAAGAUGACUGAUAGAGACGAGUUCAACGCUGUUGCAAACAUAAUGAUACCUAUUGAGAACCCCGUAGGUUCUCGAAACAUGACAGACAUCCAAAAUGAAGAGAAAAUGGCUCGCAUGGAGCAAGAACUCAAGAUCUUGAGGGAAGAAUUAUGCCAACUGCGAGACUUGGCCAAACUGUCGGCUACCACUUUCCCUACUUUCAAGACGCCUAUCUACUUCGCAAAGGCUGACUUGCCUUCUGCCGACUUGCCAAAUCAUCCAGAACAAAAUCAAGAGCACAUGGUCAAGUUCCACCAGCCUCUCCAACCGCAGUUUGGACCAUUCUUGACCUCUCUAAUCGCGAUCCUACCGUACCUACAAUGCAGCAAAUACUUGGGGCACAUGUCGCCGCUCCCUAUGAGCCACUUGUUCCACCUAUAUAUACCGCUGAAGCUCCUACCUUCACAACGCCAGUUGUGGUUAAUAUCCCGUACGAAGUUGAUCAAUAUGCAGAAAUGGAGAAAGAUGCCUAGCUAAAAGAAGAUGCAUCGAUAAAUGCCCAAUUUCAUGGUCUAAAAAAAGUGUUGAAAAUCUUACAAGUCACUAGAGGAAUAGAGAGUCUGGAUUAUGAUAACUUGUGCAUCCAGCCAGACAUUGACAUGCCGGUAGGGUACAAACCACCAAAGUUUGACAUUUUUUAUGGAAAAGGUGACCCUCACGUGCAUUUAAGGGCAUAUUGUGACAAGUUAGAUAAUGUAGGGAGAAAUGAGAAGCUGAGGAUGAAGUUUUUCAUCCGGAGUCUAUCUGGAGAAGCAUUGGCCUGGUAUACGCGCCAAGAUCCUCGAAAGUGGGGUGACUGGUAGGAAAUGGUUGAAGAUUUCACGAAUUGUAUUAGAUUCAAUACUGAAAUUACAGCUGACAAAUUCUUAUUGGCCAACAUACAAAAGAAACAAUCAGAGAAUUUCCAGGAGUACGCACGACGUUGGAGAACUGAAGUCGCAAGGGUGCAACCACCACUAUAUGAGAGUGAGCUCUCGAAGGACUUUAUUCGAGCUCAAGAAGGUGUCUACUUUGACAAGAUGAUGUCAAUGAUGGGCCAGAAGUUUGCAAAAUUGGUCAAGAUGGGGGAAUUUAUUGAGGAGGGUGUUAAAUGUGGAAAGAUUCAGUCUAUGGUCGCAUUACAAGUUGCAAGUAGGGCUAUACAAUCGGGCUCCAUUAGCGGCAUCUAAAGGAAAAUGGAGGAUGUUUCAACUGUCACUUACCAACAAGGAGGACUAUCCCACUGAUACUCCAACAAUCCCAAGAUUGUUGCACAGACUUCAUACGUCCCAUACCGAGUAUAUAAUACCCAACUCCACUAUAAUCCAUCCCGAGCACCAGCAUACCAUAAUCCACCAAAAUAGACCAACUUAUGCACCGAGGCCACGUUCGAAUCUCAAGGCUAGAAAUGCUCGCGUUUACACACCUAUUACUGAACCUUAUGCCCAAUUGUUUGAGAGGUUGAGGACAACAGAAGUGUUGCAACCAGUUGAAGGAAAAAUUCUCGAUCCAAUCCCUCAUAACUUCGAUGGAAACAAGCGAUGCGCUUACCACUCGGGAAUUCAAGGACAUGACACAAAAGAUUGUUAUGGUUUGAAGAACCAAAUCGAGUCUUUGAUCAAAAGAGGAGUAAUCAAAUGCAAUCCAGUACCUCCCAAUGUAAACAACAAUCCCUUUCCAAACCAUGAGAAUCGGGAGGUCAACAUGGUUACUCUAGAUGACAAAUAUGAGGGUCCCGACUACCCAAACAUAGAUGAAGCAGAUAUCAUGAUAUCUUCAGUGCAACCUGUUAUCGCUAUUCAACUAAGGGAACCUCUGAGCAUCCAAACAUAUCUCCUAAGAGUUGUAGUGACCACUCUAAUCGCCGAAAAUUCUGAGUACGACACCAAAGCAGUCCCAUGGGACUAUCAAGUAGGCGCCAAGGGCAAGAUGAUUGACACUGUCGUGGCUCAAGGAAUUACUAGGUCGGGAAUGUGUUAUUCCCUAGAGGACCUAAAUCAAACAGUUCUUGGAAAAGAACAUAAUCCAAAUAAGAAUGUUACCGAUGCUAAAGCCACAUAGUUUUGGAAGAAGAUGCAAUCUAAAUACUAUUCAGUCGAAGAGCAACUGAAGAAGACGUCAGCCCACAUAUCCAUUUGGUGUUUGGUUAUGAGUUCUGAAGGUCAUAUGAAUGCUUUGAUGGAGGUGUUAAGAGGAGUAAACAAUCCAAAAGAGACCACAAGUGAAACCUUAGUUGCAAUGAUUGGGAGAAUAGUGGAAGCUAACAAGAUUUCUUUCCAUGAUGAUGAGUUACCUGCAGAAGGGGCUGGGCACAACAAAGCGCUUCACAUCGUAGUCAAAUGUUUUGAUAAGAUUGUGACUCAAGUUUUAAUUGAUGGUGGUUCUGGAUGCAACUUCUGUCCUUUCACCACUCUGAGAGAUUUAGGCGUUAAUAUGAGAGAGAUAAGGGAAAGCCGUGUGAAAGUUAGAGGUUUUGAUGGAGCACAGAAAAGUGUCAUUGGAGAGAUCUCUCACAUUACAGGUGGGGCCAGCUGAAUUCCCCAUUCUAUUUCAAGUGAUGGAUGUAUCAUCCAACUACAACCUGUUGUUGGGAAGACCAUGGGUUGACAUGGCGAGAGCGGUUCCUUCCACUUUUCAUCAAUGUGUAAUGUUUGAGUGGGGUCGCACAGAAGUUACCAUCUACGGGGAGCUCAGUCACCCCAUCAUUUCUGUUAAUUCUAUCCCAGUCACUGAUGAGUUAGAUGGAACCACUUUUCACACUUUGGAAAUCAUGAAAGUUGUAAGGGUUAAUGAGGAAGCAGAGCCCGAGGAUAUCAAAUUGUCAAGUGCAGCAAAAAUUGUUGCGUCAGAAAUGUUGAAGUAUGGGUAUCAGCCAAAGAGUGGAGUUGGACAAAAGUCCAAUGGCAUAGUUGAGCCAAUCCAGCUGAAGCAUCAGAGAGGCAACAAUGGACUCGGAUAUGAGACUACCUUGGGAAGAGUCCAGCACGGGUCAAGCAAGACAAUUUUUGUACUAGAACAAGCUUUGAUUCCAGAUCAAGCUGGCAUUGAUGAAAUUGUAGAAGGAAUAGGUAAUCUAUUCGUGGCUACGGCUGGAGAAGAGGAAGAAAUAAAUCUCAACAAAUUGACCAUUCGUGAUGCCGAACCUGGAGAAAUCUUGUAGAACUGGACCAUCAGUCCGUCCCUGUUUCAACCAGAGUCCUGGUAGUGUGGAAAUGUAGUUUUGAUUUUAAAAUUCGCAUGAUCAAAUUGAGGGUUGAAUCAUGCCUAGUCUUUUGUUGUUUGCCUCUUCUAAAAGCUAGAAUGCUUUGAAAAUAAAAAAGUCUUUGUUUUUCAUUAAAAAAUUUCUCGUUAUUUUAAAUAUCUAUUUAUUUUAACUUACCUUUUGCACUUUUCAGCACUUAUAUUAAUAAAAAUUCCCGUUCAAUGGUUAUGACAUGUAACGAAUCCACCGAGCGAGGUGAAAGUGAUGAACAAGAUCACGAAGUGUAUUGUGAAAACAUAAUGCCUGAAAAUCUACCACAUGAGAUCAAGCAAGUUGAAAGCCAGAAGAAACAAAAUAUGGAUGAAACAGAGGUUGUCAACUUAGGAGAUGAGGAGAUCGUGAAGGAAACACGAGUAAGCAUACAUUUGGAGGCCGAAAGAAAGCAAGAGUUAAUACAGUUGCUUAAGCAGUACGUGACAUAUUUUCUUGGUCUUAUGAUGCCGUUGCCAUGAUUAAGCACUGAUAGUGUCUCGCACAAAUUACCAACUGAUCCUACUUGUCUACUAGUUAAACAAAAGACAACAAAGUUCAAGCCAAAUUUGAGUUUGAGGAUCAAGGAGCAGUAAUCUUAGCAGAAAUGGAUAGCAGAGUGAGCACAAAGCCAAUCAAUUCAGACGCCAUCAAGAAUACUACAUCUGAAGACCUCAAGAUUAGCGCUUAUUUUUUGUACUUUUGCAUUUUGAUGUAACAGAAUUACGUCUAGACCUAACUUCCCAUGGUGGGGUACGUAGGCAACCCACAUCGGAUCCGAUCUCCCUUAAAAAACCUAAAAUCAUUAUUUCCAUGUAUUUAGAACUACGCUCGACCUGAAUUCCCUCGGUGGGAUAUGUAGGCAAUCCUUAUCGGAUUCGGUCCCUUGCAUUUUUCUCUUCCCUAUUGUAAUUUGAACUACGUCCUGACCUGAUUCCGCUUGGAUACGUAGGCAGAUUGAGUCAUGCCCGGUCAUUGCAUUUCAUAUUUUUCACUUUCCUAUUGUAUCUGAACUACGUCCUGACCUGAUUCCGCUUGGAUACGUAGGCAGCCUAAGUCAGGCCCGGUCAUUUCAUUUCAUAUUUUUCACUUUCCUAUUGUAUCAAACUACGUUACGACCUGAUUCCACUUGGAUACAUAGGCAACUUGAGUCAAGCUCGGUCAUUGCAUUAUAGACUUCUAUUUCUCUCACUUAUAUUCGAACUACGUUAUGAUUUGAUUCCUACUUUGGGGAUACGUAGACAGCCUGAGUUAGGCUCGAUCAAUUCUCUGCAUAAUUUCCAUUUUUUUUCUUACCCUUAGGAAACACUUCCUCAUAGUUAGCGUAACCUCAGAAUUUGAAGAAUCUCGAUCGUCGCAAUGUCUGCAAAAGAGCUAGGGAAGCUUCACCAGGAGGGUAAAAGCAAGAAGACUAUGCUGGAUAUAGUCAACAAAAUGGAAAGCUAGAUGGACUUCAGAAUAUGUCAUAAUAUAAAAAUGUUGGAGAAUUACUAUAUAUAUAUAUAUAUAUAUAUAAAUAUACACAUAAUAUAUACGUAGUAUACUUAUUUUCUAGAAAAACAAGCGAAUUUUUUUCAAAAAGAUUUUUUCUACUCUUCCACCUACCUAGUCUCUAGGUUAAGAAACUACAUACGGGAUAAGAAGACGUAGAAGGAUUCUAAUGACGAGGCUUCAGUCCGCGAGUCGAUACAAAUCAACAACCCCUCCCAAACUAAAAAUUUCUUUGAGUGCAGGAACACAAGAAUCAAAAAAAUAACAUCAAGUCUCAGGGCAUGACCAGAGACGCCAUUCGACUUCUAACAAUCAUGUGCCAAAAUUCUCUUUCCCUACUUUAUUUCCCGAAAGUACUUCAACUUGCAUCUUAUAUCUAAGAACAUUUCAUUAAAAUUUUGCAGGUACGCUCAAGAUCCAGACCAAAUACUGAAGAAAGAGGAUCCUCGUAGGAAAAUAGGAUAGUUAGCUUUCUGUCAAAAUAACUCCACCAACUGGAGCUUGUAAACUAACCUCAUCAACAACUCUGCCAAUCGGAGACCACCGUCUAACAACACCAAACUCCACAAGUCUGGGGUUGUACAUAGCAAAUGUCACUCAAACCCCAUCGAUCGGAGGCUGUACAUACAAACAUCGGCCAAACUUCACCAAUUGGAGAUUGUACGUAGCAAGCAUCAUCAAACCUCGCCAAUCGGAGGCUGUACAUAGCAAAUUUCACUCAAACUCCGUCAACCAGAGGCUAUACGUAGCAAACAUCGUCAAACUCUGCCAACCGGAGGCUGUACAUAGCAAACUUCGUCAAACUCCGCCAACUGGAGGCUGUACAUAGCAAAGGUCAACCGAACUCCGCCGAUCGGAUCCUGUAUAUAAGCAAAAGAAGCAACACUCCGCCAAUCAGAGACUAACAUCGUAGCGACGUCACCGAAGCUCCACCAAUCGAGGGCAUGCAAGCAUAGAGACACUGUCAUACGCCAACAAUCAAAUGUUACAUUACAAGCUUUACACAGCCUGGUUUUUACAUUACAACAGCCUCGCUAGCCGAAGGCUUUACAUUACAAGCUUUACACAGCCAGAUUCAGCCUCUUACAUCACCACAGCCUCGCCAAUCGGAGGCCUCUACAUUACAAAUUACUUUACCUACAUCACGUUCACAACACAAAAAGGGGGACAUCAACAAUCGUUUGGACAUCUACACUCUACUCUUUACAUUACUAUUGCAAUUGAUAAUUUUUUUUGAACCACAACAGGUACUUUUCACCCUUUUACAUCUUUUGCAGGACAACGCAUUACAAUGAUGAACUCCCUCUAAGCGGCAAACUAGGGCAAGUUAGUGCAAUGUCAAGCAUCACUAGCUACGUCACGGAUUUAGUUUCAAAACUCAACUCGACUCGAUUUUUUGAAGUUCAUAUUUAUAUCUUACUUAUAACUCUUUCAUGUCUCAGUUCAUUAUAACUCGACAUUGGGGCAAUCUUUUUGAAAAUUCAUCCCUCUACCAGAGGUCUUCAAUAGAAAUUGCUACAGAACAUUUCUCAUUCAAGUUUCUUUAGAACUAUAUCUCGUCCCUCUAUUCGUGCUAAUCUCUUCAUACCUCGCCACCAAAAGAUUUCAGUAUUACCAUAAUUAGAUACUGGGGCAAAUUUUAAUAAAAUUUGCUAUGUUCCUACACUCUCGAACUACAUAUGACCUGAUUUCUUAUGAAGCCUGAGAUAUGUAGGCAACUUAGAAGCCAGAGUUCGUCCAUAACUCCAUAAACAUUUCUUGCCAAGUUAUUUGCUCAAAGUAUAUUUUGGUGGUUGCCUAAAUUGGAUUGUGCCAAUGUUUCUUUGUCCACGUCUUCUCUACUCUCCUCCAUGGACAAAGAAAGGGGCAAGCUGUUAACACCUAAUUUUGGCUCUCCACAUUAGUUUAACUAAAGUUUUAAUAAUAAUAAUAAUAAUAAUAAUAAAAAUAAAAAUAAAAAUAAAAAUAAUAAAAUAUAUAUAUGUUAUGAAUUUAUUGUAGGAAUACGAAAAGAUUUUUAAUUAUUUAUUUUAUUUGAUAAAAUUUAUUUCAUAAAUAUAUUAUAUAAAUAUUACUACUUACUUUCUCAUUUUUAAAAUUUCACGUCAAAUAAAUAUUGUUUUAAGGGUUAACUCAAUUUUUCUAAUUAAAUAUAAUUUCUAUUAUUGCGCUAAAUAAUUUUUUUGACAUUUUAAAAUUAAGUAGGCUUAAUUAUUUAAUAAGUUACUAAUUUCUAAUAAUUUUAUUUUUAGAAUAACUAAUUUUAUCAAAUAAGCUAGUCUUGCAAAAUAUUUUUUUUUUAAAAUUAUGGCUAUUUAAUAAAGAAGAGGUUAUAAUUUAAAUGAAGUUAAUUUGACCAAAUUUGGCAAUCCAAGUCAUUUUAAUUUGGCCAAUCCACGCAUGCCACAUAAGAAGCACAUGGAUUGUGCUUCUUCAGAUUCUAUCUCAUGCAUCCAAUUUAAUCUAAGGGCCCAAUUUAAUUCAGCAUUUUUCUAUCUAUCUAUCUAUCUAUAUAUAUAUAUAUAUUCAACACUUGAUUAAUUUUGAUCCUCCGAUCAAACGAUCAGACGACCCAAAAUGAUUAAGACUCUUCCUUCUCCCAAAAGAGACCUAUCAUCCGCUAUACUCUAGAUCAAUAUUGAAUUUUCCUUCUUCCCCAGAACCCUUACGCGUUUUCUUCUUCCACAGACAGAACGUCUUCUCCAUGGCCGCCCACGCUCGUUGCUUAGACCCCUACACUAGCUGCGUCUUCUCCAUAGACGCGUAUGACCGCCCGAGGCUCCUCUCCCAUUGCCUCCUAUGGCCGCACCCACGUGCUCCUCCAUCUCCUCGUCAAGGAAACGGCUCUGGCCGCCGGAAAAAUGCCCCAUCAUUCACUCAACCCUCUCAAAUCGACCAGAAAAGUUUGAUUCUUGAGAGAUUUUUCUUCUCCUUCAUGAUUUCUUCGCUGUUUCCUCUGAGAUUUGCGUUUCCAAGAAUUCAAAAUUUGAAUUCUAGGAGCCCAAAUUGACUAUAAAAGGAUGGACUUUGGGUCUCAACAAAACAUCAAAUAAUCGAUUGAAAAAAUCCAAAAACGAACGAAAACGAUCGAACAACAAUCCUGAAAUCGAACAACAUUUGAACAACACCAACAAAGGUCCGGAAAUCAUCUAGGAAGCAGAUUUUAAGGUUAUUAUCCUUUGUUCUCUGUUUCCGUUUUACUGCUUUGAGUUGAAGAGGAAGUUCGAAGUUGAAUUCUUGACGUCAAAGCCUUAGUUUGUUGCUCCAAGAAAGGUAAUUUCAUCUCCUCUUACAUUCUUUUUUCGAUGCAGCGUGUUAUGUGUUCAACACUUGGUAUAGAAUCUGUUAUUAAGUGUAUCUGAUUCCCCUGUCUUAGUCCCUACUUUAAUUUCGUCUUCUUGUAUGUCUAUGGGCAGUAGGUGUGAGUCAAGAAUCAGUGGAGUUGUUUGAAUGUUACGUGUUGAUUAUUAUUUUAUUAAUUUGAUUUUGUAUCCAUACAACUAGCCGAAUCUAUACCUUCUUUUUCUUGCAAUAGUUUGAUGUUCACUUAGUCUCCACGUCGAGUAUGCUAAUUGUGUAGCUCUGUUUCAUCACUGUUUGUUUGAAUCAUAACUGGAAUGCUGGCCGUGUUUCUCUUGUAUCUCAGCUGCUCAUAUCUUUAAUGUAAACUCGAGUUAGAAUCGUCUUAGAAAGCAUAAGACAUGUUCAUAUUGCUACUUUCGAGUUCUGCAACACGCGUUUAGCCUGCUUUAUAUUACUCGCUGCUGCUAAGUGAUAUCCAUGUUUAGGCUGAUGUGUUGCACCUUAGAUAUUUCAUAAGUUAUCUUGUUGUUUCGCAAGUCAUAUUUAAUUUAAAGUUCGAGGAGUCUCGAUUCUAAGUUUUAUUUACUACUUCAAGUAUAAUCAAACUUUGCCUAAAUAAUCAUUUUCUAAGUAUAAAUGAGCCAUUUCGAACUCUUAAGAUUAGUUCUUCCUGAUCUACUUUCCCCCCUUCGUGUUUCGUCUUCUCUUGAUAUAUAUUUUUCUUUCUGCUAUUUAAUGUUGUUAGUCAGGUGUCACUCACCAUGUUUGAAGGUUCCUAGCUCUUGUCAUUCUCUGAUUUAUGCCUGUUUUGGGGUAAUCAACUCGACUGAACCUAUACUUUUAUUGCAAAAUGCAUAAUCCCUAAGUUUAAGCAUAUAAAAUAAUUUAUAUGAACCAAAAUACAUAUCCAUGGCAGACAUAUUUUGUGUAUGUGUGUUAGGAAGACAACAGUUUAUUCAUAAAUGUAAGACAAAAUCUAUCUUGACCAUAGAAUAGGCAUGAUCUGUUGGUUGUUUGGAAUUUUUUUGAAGCCUAAGGUGUAUUAUUUACCUCCUGAGAGAUCAGCAUGCAUAGCUUCAAAUUAACUUAAAUUUUGAUUAGUUAUUCACUAAAAUGAUCAGAUUCAAGAGCCUUACACUUGCUGUCUUUUUACGUUAUAGUAGUGGUGUAACUCAUUCUAUUCCCAUGAUAACUCUUAUUUCACACGAGUACGAAUUGCACUUUGGUUAAUCUUUUUCAUAUCUCUCUAAAGGAGCUUGUGAACUAGGUUGUGCUGCUUUAUAAUUAGAAGAACAGUAGCACUGCAUCUUUUGACAGAAUAUUUUAGCUACUAUCUAUUAGGAUGUGCUUAUUGUUUAAUUCUAAUCUUUUACGCUUAAGGUUGAUCAAUUUCUAUUCUGUACAUUUACUCAAGCUGCCCCUGAUCGUAUAUUAGUUUGAAUAAGUUACAUGAAGUACGAAAUAUAUUUUUAAGCAUGAUCAACAACCAAUUGUGAAAUCAUUGUAAAACUCGCACAUCGAUACAACUAUCCAACUGAUUUUUAUAUGCUCGCUUGAAUGGUAUCUUAAAGCCGAUCAGCAACUCUCUAGAUUGAUUAAAGUUCGGUAUACUAAUUGCUUAAAUGUCAUCAAGAAACUGCCAGGAUAGUAUCAUGCUGAUGUUGCUGUUUCUGAGUAUAUUUUCUAAUAUGCCUAUGACUACAUGAUUCUUAUUUUUUAUGUCUUCUGAUAAAUCUAAAGUUCACUUGCUAAUUCUACUUCUUCUUUGUUUGUCACAUGUACACACGGGAGUGCGUUUGGAGUUAGUAUAUAACUCCAUCUCUAUCCAAAUCAGAGAAGCGACUGAUAGCCGCAUAAGCUCGUGUCUAGCAGCCUUUAUCGCGUCAAAUAGUGUCCAGCACUUCCUCUUUGCUCCAAAGCUCCAUAUUUUCUUACCUAUACAUACACUUAUAGUGUUGUCUUUCGACUAACAUCUUACACAUUAGUAUUUCACUCUUAUAUAAGCUUGCUUUUAUUUUGUUUGGGUUUGUACGAAUCAACUUAGAACGAUGGUAAGACGUAGCUGCCCACCUUGUAUCCCUUUAGAUAUUGGGUUUAGUAUAGUCCCUUAGCUUAUAAGCAUUACUUUCUAGUUAUGUUUUAUUUGUUACUAAAUAUUUUUAGUCAUGAAGGCACAACAUCAUAAAGAAAUUCAACUAAGGAAUAAUGUUUGUUUUUUCAAAUAUUGUGAACUUAUUUUCAGAUUCUUUUCAUAAACAAGUGUUUAAAGUGUGGUUUUUGGUAGCCUAAAAGUGCAGACUUUAAAGUUGAGCGAAGUGCAGAUUUUUUAAAAGUUAAUGAUAUCACAUUCUUAAGAGUUUAAGAGUGGUAUAUUGAGUCUAAAAAAUGCAGCGUUUUGAGCUCAAAAGAGUGUAGAAUUUGAGCUCAAAAUGUGCAUAAUUUGAGCAUAAAAGAUGCAGAUUUUUUUUAGGUAAAAAAUGCAGAUUAUUUUUUUUGUGUGAAAAUGUGGCUUUAACAUGCUCUACUAAGCAGAUUUUUUUUUAGUGUAAAACUGCAGGUUUUUUUUUAGGCUCAAAACAUAACCCUUUUGUGGGCUUUAAAGUGUAAAAUUUAAGCUUAAAAAUGCAGUUUUUAAGAGGUAAAAACUGCAGCUUUUUAACAACUUCACUUUGCAGAUUUUCUAAGUAUAAAAUGUGCAACUUUCCUUGGCUUAAAGCCUAUUUCUUUUAGAACCUAAAGGUAAGUACUUUGAAACUAAAACGAUAUAGUUUGAGAGAAUAAAAGUGCACUAUCUUAAGAGGGCAAAACAAGUAUUAUAGUUUUUGUUAGAAUUGUUGUUCUUUUAGUCUUAAAAGAUACAUACUGCUCAAGUUAUUUGCUCCGAGAAGGACCAAAAUAUUUAUUAGCUGUAUUUAUCAAAUCUCACUUAGGACUUUAUGUUAAGAAAGCUUAUCAUUUAAAAACACCCAAAAUGACUUUGAGAUUAGUUUAAAGGCUAAAAUAAUUACCUUUUAGGAAAUAUAUAUAUUUUUUAGAAAAUAAGUAGGGAAGUAGGCUUAUAUAUUUAACAAAAAAAUGUAACUAUAGAAUAAAUCCCAAUAGCUAGGCCUAUCUUAUAUUCUUUACAUCACCCCCUUUACAAAAUAUUGGCUAUUGUUACUUCUUUUUUAAAUCAAUUAUUGCUAAAACAUUUUCAUUUGUUAAAAUGUUAUUUCAAGAUUUUAGAUAUGCCAACAAGUUCAAAAUACAAGGUACAUACAUAUAUAUGUCAUACGCAAAAAGGUACAAAUCCUAUAUUGUUUAGUUUUCUCUAUAUGUAACUUAUUAUGUUGUAACACUUCAUAUUUUUUUUUCUCAUAUCUACUAUCACUUCUACAAAUGUUACUUAUUUUUUUUAAUCCCUACACUUUAAUAUACACAUUAUUUUACUACAUUUUUACACCCGGUUACUUUCUCAUUUUAUGUUUUAUUUUCUUUCAUGUCUUAAUUCUAUAUAUAAAUAAAAUGACAAAUUUUCAUAUAUUUUAAACUCAAUAUUUAUUUUUGAUACAUUUAUAUAAGGCACCUCUAUAUUCUUCAACAUAUAAAAUUGUCGUACAUUUUUAGUGCAUUUAUUUAUUUAUUACCAUAUGAUAAACAUACUACUAUUAAUUUUAUUUAAUAGACAUAUAUAUGUCGUACCUUGUAUUUUAAUCUUUUUCUUAAACUAAUAAAAUUUACUUACCAUUGAUUUUAAAGCAAAUAAUAAACAAGUUUUCCUAAUUAUAUUUUCCUGAAUUGAGUUUAAGGACUAUCUUCGGAUAGGCUCUGAGGGAUGCUUAAUACCUUUCCCUCGAGUAACCAAAACCCUUACUCAUAAUCUCACUGAUUUCGCAAAUCAAAACAAAGUUUACAUUUACAUAUUUAAAAAAAGGUUUCCUAAUAUUUUCCUUAAAAUUUAGGUGGCGACUCUAAAACAAAAACAAUUUUUUUCAAAAUCAUAGUGUCAACCAUAUUAUGUUGUGAACUGUUUCGGUUAGUUCGCGAUAUUGCCUUUCUUCAUUUCUUCAGUUUGUUUUGUUCCUUUUCGCCUGUUAGUGUCCUUUCUUUGUUCCUCAAUCCAUAUACCUGAAACUAAAGGAUUUAACAUCAGUUUAUGGCACAAAUUAAGCAUUUGAGGACACUAAAUCUAUAUAAACAAAGCCCCAAAUGAGUCCAAAUCUCGGACUCAUCAACACCCCCUACUUCAACUUUUGCUUGUCCUAAAGUAAAACUCAAGAUCAGCAGUUCAAAAAGGGAUGUCUCAAAUAGUGUUGCAUACCACUCAACAUGAAUGCACACAACAAGACUUAACUUACUCAUGCAAUGAUCAAUUGUGCACUCAAAGAUUCAAUUUGUAACUCACCGUUAUUAAAGAUGCUCAAGUUCACAAUACUUGCUUCAAAUGCAAGUUCAAGCUCAGCAAAAGUACUCAAAUGCCCUCACAACAAAGAUGAUUCCCUAUUCACACAAAGUUCUUCAACAAUUUAUAGUUUUGGGAUCACAUACAAAUCUCACACUCACAAAGAUGAACACAUGAAUGACUUCAUCCAUAGGUUACCCCUUAAUUUUCAAUCAACAAUUGUUUUAGCUCACUCAAGAUCACAAAAGUCUUUUCAAGGCUUGUAACGGGGCUGUGUGUAAAUGUAUGGCCAUUUAGGCUCAGCAAUUGCUACUUUCAUGAAGUGUGGUCUCAACAUCACUUUCUUCCUUUUCUUUAACAUUUUGAUUAUGCUCAUAAUUCACCCCAUGAUGCAACUUCAAAUGGACUACUGGAUACCCCAUUUCUUUUGCAACUUCCACUACUUUGUUUAACAUUUUUUUUUCAUUCUUUUUCUUUUUCUUUCUUCUUUUAUUUAUUUAUUUUUUACAUAGAGGGGUUCCAUCUUUUUCAAAAUCAUUGCUCAAAGGGCGAAUUUCUCACACUUCUUGAUUUCCCUUCUCUUUUCACCACACCCCAACUUAGGCUUUUGGACUAAGUUGGCUAUUCAAACAAACCACACUUCAUGAGAGUUAUGGGUGAAUGGAUAAAGAGGGGUCAGAAUUGUUCAAGUUUUUUCCAAGAAAAGGAUAUGACUCAAGAAGGUUCAAGCAAGGAUCACACAUCUCACAACGUUGGCCACAAAAGAGGUAUAUUGUCAAAUCACAAAAGAGGUAUAUUGUCAAAUUGUUGCCUAAGAUCAUUUCAAGUGCUUGCAUCACUUAGUCAACCGGACCAAUGGGGCAAAUUCUAGGUGUCAUCACACACAAUGGUCAAGGUAAUCUCAUCACACAAGGCAUUGGCACCAAUAUCAAACAAGACUCCACACUUUCUAGCUAGUGUGCAAUGUUCAUCACAAGAGACUCAUUCGAUAACCGGCUAGUCACAAUGAAAUGCUAAAAGUUCACACAUUGUCUAUGCAACUUCAUAUGUUUUCAUCGUAGUCGCACAUUCAUUUUGUUCAAUUAAUAGCACUAUUCAAGUCAUCGGUAUUGAUCAUAAUCGAUACUAAAAUUUGCACAAGAACAACCACAAUCACAAACCAUAGGGGUGGCACAAAAUUUAGAAAUAGGUCAAAACCAUUUCCAUUCAAAACAAGGAGCCACAAGCUCAAGCAUUCACAAGAUUAAGAUCCAAACACAAUCAAACACAAAUAUAGAUCACAAAACCCAAUAGAUACAAAUAAAAUGUAAUCACAAGAGGUAGGUAUAGAAAUACCUCACCCCACCCACAAAAGAAAAGCAGUUGUCCUCAAAUGCAACUAAAACAAAGAUAAUCAACAAAAACAAUAGAGAAGGAGGUAAAGAUGUCAUCCUACCAGGCUAAGCCCAGGGUAAAGUCUGCAUCAUAGUCACUCCAUUUGUCUGGGCAUCAGUGCCUGGGGUCACAAUCUGGGGUUGGGCAUCAGUGCCCAGUGUAACAUCAACACUCGCUCCAUUGGAUCCUGCCAUAGAAGUAUCCCUCCACGAUUUCUGAAUGGUCUAAUGUACCAUAGCCUCCUUGACCUCAGCUAGGCCCUCAUAGGUGGUCUCCUUCUGAACACCGAGUUGCUCCUCAUCAGUCUCAGCCUUGGACUAUGCAACCACUUCAUUAGCUCUAACCUCAUCUCCGGUGGUAGCCGAAGGCACAUCAGAACAGGCCAGAAUAUCAGUGUCCAGGUCACCAGGGAUCUCCACGGUCCCAAAAAUCAUCGAUAUAUUAGUGGACUUCAGCUGGUCCACAUCUUUCCUUAACUCUGCUAUUGAGGCCUUUAAGACGGUCACCUCAUGAAUGGCUCCCUGACCUCUCUAGCAAACAUCUAUCCUUGACGUAAGGGCAUCAAUAACAUCUCUAAGAGGUGUUAAAGAAGCAGUGAGAGAUCUCUCAAUCAUCCCAGGAACUACAACCUCUAGCCUGGAGGCACACACAUCAGCAAAAUGGUCUAGGUGGCCUAUUUGUAGCAGCAUGGCUUGGGUGAGUGGAGGUCGGGAUGCAGUAGUACUAGCAGUAGACCUAGGAGGCAGGGGAGCGGUAGAAGAACUCGGAGUCAUAAAGGGGGCAGGGCAAGAAAUAACUGAAGGCCCAGUGGCCGGAGUAGGCAAUAUUGCCUCUACAUGUAGUGUCUCACUAUCAAUAACCGGGGAUGUAUCCACCGAGGGUGCCCUCUUCUUCUCAACCUCAUCCUUCAAGUACUCAACCUCAAUAUGCCGGAUGUCAGUAGAUGAGGUGGGAAUCACUUCCGCGUCCUUCUUCUCAUCACGUGGAACUCAGGCUCGUCUGCACAACUCGGUGAUCAAAACUGGAAAAAGAAGAGAUGUAUGUUGCUUCCUAGCUCUCAUGGCCAUCUCCUGUCUAAUAAUGGCACCUAGAUUGAUGCGCUUCCCUGUAAUGAUGGAUCCAACACAGGCUACCUUUGUGUGGCAGAGGAUAGACUCGUUAUGGGACGGCAUAAUUGUGCUACUAAUGAAGCCGAACCAAUACCUCAGUGCCACAUUUAGGUCUCUCUUCUCUAUUAGCACUCCGGCCUCGAUCCACCUAGGAGUAGCGUCAGACAGGAGAGGGGCCAACCAACCUUUCAUAUACUCCAAAGUCGUUGUCUUGAUCAUGCUCAGGUAGUCAUUGUUGUCAAUGCAUUCCAAAACAAUAUUUAUGUCAUCACUAUCACAUUUUACCUUCCUUUCCCCGACAUCUACAUAAUCCACUGGUUUGAAGGUGGCAGCCUUCCACUUUCCUUGUGGCACCAAAGCUCCAUAGGUAGUGUAGAACUCCCAGACCGAAUUAGAAAUGUAAGGUCCCCAAGGUUUAGUUAAGAGCUGGAAGUUGUGGGAUUUCAGGGUGCUCCAUAUCUCUGGAUAUCUGUCCACCACACCAUCUGUGGACAUUCUCUUCUCCUCGAUGAUAGCCCUCAGUCCUCGACCAUUAGUUUAUUGAGAGACUAGGGGGAAGGACCCUGUGCAGGUGGUGCGACCACAGUCUGAUCUAGAACUGGAGGAGGAGGAGUAGUCUGAGGUACACGGAUCCUAGACGGAUCAUGCAUCCUCUUGGAGCAUAUUUCAGCUCUCCGGGCCAAUAGAAGUUGGUCAUCCUUAGGCUCAGAGAUUACAGCCUGAGGAUCCUGGUGUACUUUCUCGCUUCCAGAUGUGGUAAGGUGAGUCGCGUAGACUUCUUCAUUAUCGGAGCUGACCUCCGGUGACUCAGUUGCGGACGCCUUGCCCUUUCCUUUGCCUUUCCCACCUUUGGUAGGAAGUUUGGUUGCCUUUGCUUUGGAUGCCGAUCCCUUCUCAUUUAUGAUGAUACCUUUUGCCCGCUUGCGAAGCGGCAUGUUUCGUCCUUGAACUUUGGGUCUAGCCAUAGCUGCAAAACACAUUGAAAAGUGUUAGAAAUCAUUCAAUAAAAUUGCAGAAAUCAAGUUGCAGAAAAACUCGCCGAAUCAGUCGGCGAGUCGGCGAGUCGCUUAGGCAAGCCACAUUUGGCUCGCCAAAGAACCAGCUUGAAAAAUUUACAGAAAUAAGGCAUGUCGGCGAUGCGCAGGGCCCUUCAAAGAACCGCCGACACCACUCGGCGAGCUCAGACUAGCCCGCCAAAAAUUACAGUGUAUUUUAGGGUUUAGGGGCACAGAAAGGGUGAUCAAAGGAACCUUUCGGCGAGUCACCGAGUGAACUCGGUCACUCAACAUAGACAAAUCAAGAAUUAAGGGCUAUCAAAGGGGGACUUUGGCGAACCGCCGAACCGUUCGGUGAGCUUGACCCAGCUUGCCAAACUUCCCAAUGUGCCAAUUUUAACCCCGUUUCCAAAAAUCAAGCCUGCAGCCCCCAAAAUCACAAUCAAACACAUACACUAUGCAAUUCAUACCAGACCCAUAUGACCAAUGCCUUCGAGGUACUCAGAAUUCCCCCGAUUUGGCCAAAAUUGGCUAUUUGACGACUUUUUCCCUGAAGAAUGACAUCAAACGCUCCAUCAUUGGGAAAAUUACGUCAUUUGGCACAAUUUGGGGUUACUCAGACUUUACCCCACUAGACCCAAUACAAAAUAACCGCAACCCAACAUUUUAGAAUCAAAUUAAUUGCACAAAACACGGGAAAUCAUCUUUUUAAGCAUUUAGGCACAAGUUCAAAAACAAUACGGGCGAUCCGACACAUAAAAACCGAUUUAAACAAUUACCCAACACAUAUCAACACAUAUUUACCGAAAGCAUUUGAGUUCAACCACUAAUCAAAGGUGCGGUGUUCAGAAAACCAACAUGUAUACCGAAUUGAGAAUUUGAAAAGCUAGGCGGCAAAGUAUUCCAAUUCUGAGCAUGUGAUCACACACAAAAAUGAAUGAAGAAGUAAAAUACAGAAGAUCUAAAGUGCAGGAGAGAGUGUACGGGGUAAGAAAUGAGAGAAUAUGAAAUAUUUUGAAAUUUUAAACCAUUUGGCCUUUUAAAACCUUUCAGUUCGCAUCCCUUUUGGUGGUGUAAGUCGUCCACGCCGAACCACUCAUGAUGCGGCGAGUGGUAAUUCACCUUGCCGAGAUUUACACGACCUUUAGUCAAUUUUGGGGUCCAAACGGUGGACAAAAAUGGGCUCGCCACUUGUUUGGCGAGUCGCCGAUUGGACUUUUGGCUCGCCAAACCUCCUAUUUUCCAACACACUUCACUUUUCAACCUGCACAAUCAACAACUGUUAUUCAAAAUAAAAAUUAAAGCAUUAUUAACUUGGGUUGCCUCCCAAAAAUUGCCUUAGUUUACGUUGUGGCACGACGCAAGUACCUAUUCCAACUUCAUUUUUGGGGUUUGCCAUUUUAUCACUAGGCAACCCCCCUUGUUGUCUUGGAUUCAAAUGUGACAAAAUUUGACCCAUUUGGGUCUCCAGUUGCUUAAUAGAGACUGAGUGAGAGGUCACCACCUGAUUCAGAGUCGAGACAUCCUCUUUCAGUUCUUUCAACACUUUGUCGAACCCAUAAACCUUGUUGAGAAAGCGAGAUAGCAUGUCUUCCGUACGGCCACCCUCAGAUUGUUGGGCUUUUAACGCUCAUAGGGAGGAACAUAUAUAUCCUUCUCCCACUCUCUUUUCUUCCAAGUGAUGUUGCAAUCACGCCAAUCUUUGUCAUGGUCUGUCUAGCCCUCAUCUCUAUUCUAACCCUGAUUUCCACCCGAUCUUGGGUAGUUAGCACGAUAACCUCCUUCUUGAUUGGAUAGGAAGUUCACUUUCUUAUUGUACAUUGCUUCAAAUUGGGCCUCAUCGGGGUUUACUCCACCAAUACCCACAACAUUAACACUCUUCGUACCAACACCCAUGACAUUUUUAGACAAGAUAUCCAGCUGUGUCAUCAUCUUUGCCAUGUUUUGGUCUCUCUCUUGAUCUUUCUCAAUAUGAUCCUUUGUCAUUCUAAAGUUGAGAGGAGACUUAGUCCUCACGAGUAUACCAUACCCUGUUGAUCUUGGUCGUGCAAUCAAAGAGUUGGGAAGCUACUUCAUAGGUUUGUUGCAUUAUACCACCGGGAGCAAGUUGAUCAACAACUCCUUUGUUCACCGAAUUGAGGCUCCUAUAGAAGUAUUGCAACAACACAUUAUUUGGCAAUCCAUGAGUUGGGAAUUGCAUCACCAACUUUAUAAACCUCAGCCACGUCUUAUAGAUUGGCUCACCUUCCAAGCGUUUGAAACCUUGGAUACUAUAACUAAGAGUCAUCAUCUUCGAAGGGGAAAAAAUUACACUUGGAAUGCAGUAGUAAGUUCAUCCCAAGAAGUGAUGGAGUCUCUUGGCAACUCAGCCAACCACUUGCUAGUUUCACCCAUCAGUGAAAAUGGGAACAAUCUAAGAUGGACUUAUUCUUGCGAAAUGUUCUUAAAUGAGAACGGUCCACAAACAUCAACAAAAUUUCGGAUAUGCUCAUAGGGAUCCUCAUGAGCAAUCCCCCCAAAAUAAUCCUUUCAAUUGUAGGAGCUGAAGCAUGGUGCUUGUGAUGUGAAAAAAAUAGUGUUUCCUUCAGCCGGAGGUAAACGAAUGGCUCCAACACCACCCAUAUUGACUGUAUCAUUGAUGUUUGGGUCAUUAACGUCAUUGAGGUUUCCGACAUCAUCUUGGUGGCCCACUUGGCUACCAUUACUUCCGUUAACGCUCUUGUCAUCCUUUAUUUAACACAAGAAACAAAAAACCAAAACUAAAAUAAGUAGAUUCAACUAUAAUUAAAAAUAUCACAAUUCAACUUCACAAAAAGAAUUUUAAACAACACCACUCCCCGACAGCGACACUAUUUUGACUAACGUUUCAAGCACACCUCAUCCAAUUCUACGUGCAAACGAUCGCUAAGCAGUAUAAAACCCAACAAAGAAUUGGGGUCGAAUAUUACAUAAAGCGGUACGUGUUCAAAUUCAAUUAGGAAGUACAAAUGUGGUCUAAUCAGCCAUAGGAAUAGAAAUUAUCAAAAAAAGACAUGAAUCAAAUUAAAAGGGGUGACACGAAUGUCAGAUGGGGAGGAGGGGUUUGAUUUUCAAUUAUCAACUACAAAGCAGUCAAGGUUUAAAAGUUCCAAAACGAACAACCAGGUGACAGUACUAUUAGUCCUAGCAAGUCAUAGAUUACUUGGGAUCACUAGUCGAAAGCUGUAAAUGAGAAACAAGAGGCAUAAAUAUAGAAAUUGCCUGGAGGUCAUUACAAGUAUUUUGUUAAGAUUAUAUAUCAAACAUCAAUAACUUCCUGAUAAGAUUCUAUAAUAGGAAAGAAUAAGCCCAUAACUUUUUUCAUCACCGUAAUUUAGAAUUAUGGAAAUGAUGCAUUGUAAGAAAAGAGUUUGUAUAUUCAUUUAUAAUAGCUUGGAAACAAAUAAAAAAGUUUGUAAUCAAAUAGAAAAUUUUCACAGGUAAUUUUACUACUAUUUAUAUAACUGAAAAGGGCCUGAAAUACCCUCAAACUAUUGAAAAUGGUACAAAACUACCUUCAUCCACCUAUUGGCCCCCAAAUAUCAUUGUCAUCCAUCUAUUGGCUCCCAAAUACCCUCUCAUCCAACUUUGGUUCCAAUAUUGACCACUUUUAUAGCAGAUUAUCAUUUCAAUAUUGUUUUUUAAAAUAUGUGAAGAGUAUCAAUUGGUUACAAUUUAAUUACUUAAAUUAAUUUACAAACUAACCUAUUAUUAAUUAUAUUCGACCCAAGUUAACUACACUUCACUCAAGUUAACUACACCCAACCAAAAUUAACUACAACCGCCCCAAGUUACAUUUACUUAACUGAUUAAAACAAAUACACCCUUCAUUCCCAACAUUUCACUUCAUAUUUCAACCUUCUUCCCCAAUAUAUUCCCCUACAAUCUCGAAAAACACUACCUAAAUACACCUGUAGCACCAUAAAAAUCACCAAUACACUCAUGCUUUUUUAUGGUGAUACAUGAGCAUAUUGAGGUAGUGCUUUUCGAGAUUGUAGGUGAAUAUAUUUGGGAAGUAAGAUUGGAAGAGGAAGUUAAAUGUUGGAAAUGAAGGGUGUAUUUGUUUUAAUUGGUGGCGUAAAUGUAAUUUGGGGCGGGUGUAGCUCAUUUGGGUUGGGUGUAGUUAAUUUGGGCCGGGUGUAAUUAGUAAUGAGUGGGUUUAUAAAUUCAUUUAUGUAAUUAAAUUGUAUCCAAUAGAUGGUUACCAUGCAUUUAAAAAAAUUAAAUUAUUUAAAUGAUAAUUAGUUAUAAAAAUGGUCAAUAUUGGACCCCAAGAUGGAUGACAAGGGUAUUUGGGAGCCAAUAGGUCUAUGACAGGGGUAUUUGGGAGCCAAUAGGUGGAUGAAGGGUAAUAUUGUACCACUUGCAAUAGUUUAAGGGUAUUUGAGGCUCUUUUCCAUUCAUAUAAUUAAAUAAGAGUGGCUAAAAUACUUUAUAACUUCCUCGAUUCUUGUUCCCCUUAAAAGUCUAUGAUUACAUAAAUCUUGUUGAUGUUCGUUUAUCAUAUUAUAACGGUAUAAGAUGAUCCCUUAUGAAAACACAGGGUUAUGCAUUCAGCUAGAACCUCAAAUUUAUUGUAAAGAUGCAUCAAUACCAAUUGAAAAUUUUAAAUUAUUUGAAGAAAAAAUUAGGAAAUUCAAUAAAAUACAAUUACUCUGAGGACUUUAAAAUUUAACAAUAAAAAUAUUUUUUUCUUCUUUAGACUUUUAUUAUGUUUAUUAUAAUCAAUAUUUAAUAUUAUUAAAGUAAUGAUAUACUAAUUAAAAAAUGUGAAAAACGAUUUCAUCCGCCCCAAGCUUUGAAUUUUUUUAGACAUUUUUAUUUAUUUAAAAAGCAAUGCAUAGAAGGAACAUGAACGACAAAAAGAAUAGUGAUUCACCUAACAAAUUUAUAAUAGUAUAAAAUAAAAAGGCAAGAAAAGACAAAAAAACUAAAUUGCACGAGUAAAAAUAAAUAAAUUUAAAAGGAACUCAAGAAUUACAAAAAUUAACUGUAUCUCUGGGAAGAACUCCAUCUACCACUCCUUCGAAGAGCUAUGUAGUUGGUGUUAUAGCUUUCUCCAACUCUUGCAGAAUUUAUAUUGAAGUCUUCUUAAAAUUUCUUGAAUGUCAUGUCUAUCCCCUAUUUAUAGUUAUAGCGGUUGACAAGGUUGCUUAUGAUUGACCAAAAGAUGUCAUUUUGACACUUGACAGAUUGGGAUUGGUUCCUGAAUUUAACUGGGAUUACCACAUAAUUUGGACAUGUUGCAUCACCCUGUUGGUCUAGGAUGCCUAGUCAUUUUGACACAUGUCAUGAGUUCGGGCUUCAAAGUAGAAUAUACCUUGGAGUUGAACUCAAUAAAAUGAACUUAUUCAUUUGUAAAGCCCAAAUUAUUCAUUCAACCCAAAUGCAUAUGGAUUUAAUUCAAAAUUUUGUAUGAAUUUUAAUCCAAUUAAAUUUAGGUGCCUACAAAUGCACCUUACUUCAACACUUGUCGACGUGUAGGCUUGCAAAAACGUGACGACGAGACUUUAUGUAUUCAUGAAUUUGUUUGUUUUAGACUUGUCGACUUGUAGGCUUACUGAAACUUGAUGACAAUACAUGAAGUAUUCAGGAAUGUAUUUUCAUUUUUUGAGACUAGUCAAAGUGUAGGCUUGCCGAAACUUGAUGGCGAGAGUUGAAUUCUUAAUGAAUGUGUUUUCAUUUAUGAAACCUCUGGUGUGAAGACUUGACGAAACUUGUGGACGAGAUCAAAUCUUCAUGAAUGUGUUUAAUUUUAGACCCUUCAAAAAUAUUUGUUUCUUGUCACCGCAUUCUUGCUAGACCACUACAAAUGAUUUGUUUGCAGUGAUUCUAAUAUUUAUUCUAAAACAACAUUCUUUCUCAACUACAAUGUGACACCUCUAUAUCAUUUGAAAUAGAUGGGUCUAUUUAAUGAUAAUAUUUUUUCUUGUGACCUUUGUCGCAAGAAAUCAGAAAACAACAAAAUUAAUUAGAGCUUUUGAACCAAAUAAAAAGAAUAUUAAAUUUUCUUUGGUAUCUAAGUCAAUUAAUGAAUCUGAUUAAGGUGUACUUCAUUUCAUAAAUCUUUGGUUCAUCCUUUCCAUAUUGGUGUGGUUUAAAAAAUUGCCACUAUAUCAAUCAACCCCAAUCAGAGUUUCUUCUUCCAGUUUCACCAUAACAUUCCUUGUGCAAGGAUUAUAAAUCUUUCACCAUAAUCUCAAUAUAAUCCUCUCCAAUGCACAAAGGAUUUUCGUCACACAAACUUUCAGAUGAUGCAAAGGCAAGUUGCCCGAGUGUGUUUAACCGUUAAGCUCCAACGCUGCUCGAUUUUAUUAAAAUGAGUAAUGUAUCCUCCAUCAUAUUUCAAAAGCAUAGAGUAAGAGUAUACUCUGUACUUUCUCAGGUAGCUUUAAGUCUUGUUUAGCAGUAACCCAUUUUUGAUGGUUUAAGUUUGCAUGUUUGUAGUGUAAAACUAGUAUCUAAUUGUAGAAAAAUUAAAAUCGCAAGUCGUUUGUAAUUUCCAUAAUUACAAAUAUGGAACUAUAAUAUAGCAAAGAUUUGCAGCCAAAUUCCUCUUCCAUUGCUAGCAUUUUGAUAUUUAAUAUUGAACCCAUUUUUUAUGGUCAGAUUUUGUGCGAUUGUUGUGUAAAAUUCAUAUCUCAUUCUUGAAAAAUAAAAAUCACAAGAUGUUGAAUUUUUCUGAAACUAGAAACAUGGAACAACAAUGUAGCAAAUAUUUGCAACAAUUUUUUCUACCAUUGCUACAGUUUUGAUUUUUAAUAUUGCACUCAACUUCAUAUUUGCUCGUCUUUUGAUUUCUCCAAUUGUGUUUUCACCGAAGUAAUCCCCAUUUUAUUUUCAGACCCACGUUGUGCAAUAAAAUAUCCAGAAGUAACAAUGGAUUUAAUUGACCGAUAUAGGUUACAUACCCUUUCCUAGAGAUCGUGGAGAAUAAGCAACAUUUGUGUGCCAAAGUUCUCACCUUGAAAGUUCAUGUUCUGGUCAUUGACGCCUUCCCACUUGUUAGAAAGCUUCUGGAUACUUCUCAUAAUCUUCGACAGUGGUCGUAAACAGAAAUGAAGGACACCAUAGACAAUUUCUCUAGCAAAUUCACAACUAAAAAAGUUCACCUCUUGAAGUUUUUCCGUCAUAAAAAUGUUGUUGUUUCCAUCCCUCCUCUAUGUGAUUAGAAUCUUAGCAGUUGGCGUGUUCCUCCUUUUGCAUUUGGUGAGGUUUAAGAUAUUAUGUUCACAUAUGACCAUAACAAAAAUAUUCUCUACACCUUUUGAGAGAAUUGGCGUCCAUCCACCCAUACAGUCUCUACCGUCAUCGGAAGAGUUAUAUAUGUUUAAGAGCUAUUGGAGGCCUUCUAUGAUGAAUUUAUACCCUAAGCCAAAUGAGUUGACAUAUGUAGAUGACCAGGGAAGUCUUUUCUCCCAGGAAGCUGCUCAUACUUUUUUUCGGCAUUCUAUCAACUUACAAAAGGUGUCAUCGACGAAGUCUCCUUUUGGGUAUGGACAAUGUUCUAGGUUAGGGAAUUGAGAAAAUAUGUUGAUUCUUCACCAAGGAUGUUUAUGAAUUGGACGAAGCCAAGUAUGAGUCAUGAUUCUUCGUGGAAUAUUCACAUGAGUUUUUUUACCUUAAACCGAAGAGAAGAAUGCUCUUUUCGUGGAGCUAGGCAUGGAAGAAUCACUUAGGGAUGAAACAUAUCUAGCGUCUUUUCUUGCAUAUUCACUUUGCAAGUUUUUUCUUCCUAAUUAGAAGGUUGAUAUUGUUCAUGCUAAGGUCUUCAAAGUUGUAAGCUUGAUGGCUCAUGGAGAGAAAUUUUCUUUGGCGGAUCUAGUCUUUGCAAGCAUCUAACAUGGCCUCAAGGAUAUAUACACUUCAUAAAACAUAAGUGCUUGAGAAAAAGUAUGAGUAUUUUGAGAUCUACUACCAUGUCACCCUACCCUAAAAAGGUGUGUGAAUGUGGCAGAUAUCUGGAGAAAAGAUGGAAAAAUGUUUUGGCUUUGUUGACGCUCCCAAGUUAUUGAAACAAGUGAAUGUGUAUAACCUUCAUAAUAUGGAAAUGCUACAAAGAAAAAUAGAUACAUAUUGAUGAUUGUGAAAAAUAGUCUAAUUCCUAGAGAGAUUUCCUUAUAGGCCUUCAUUCAAGUAUUAGUAGUUUGAUACAAAAUGAUGAUCUCAUUGUGGAGCCUUAUAGCCCUCACCAAUUUGUAAUGACCCUCAGGGCCAUUUAUGUGUUUUAUGCAUUUUUUCCUAUUUUGCCCCUUUAUGUAGCUUUCUUAUUGAUUUUGUGUGCUAUUGGGUUGGUGGCACGCUUUUCGAGGUGUUCAGUUGAGUUUUUUGUGAGUUUUAAGUUUUGGAAGCUUAAUGCUUGGAAGAGUUGACUUCAGUCAACAUCCAGAGAUUCUGAUUUCGGAUGGCAUUUGUGUAAGUUUCGUCAGCUCUAGAAGGGUUAUUUUGGUCUACUAUGAUGAUGUGUUUGGGUUUAGAUGACUUCAUUUGAAGUUUGUGCAAUUAGGUGAUUUAGCUUAUAAGUUUUCCUUAAGGUUUGAUGCUGGUCCACUUUCUUGGCAAAAUGUUCUUAGAAUCCAAUUCCAUCAGUGCAGUUAGAUCAGCAAUGUCGAGUUUAGUCUGGAAUGACCUUUGGUUAAGAUCCUGGGGUGUUAGGGUUAGUUUUUAGCUUUUGGCAUUUCUUGUUUUCUAUGUUAAACUAUUGACUUUGGUCAACAUUUUGACGAUACAACCUCUAUUGGUUGUUUCAUUGAUUCUGUUGAGUUUGGAAAUUUGUUUCGAAGUGGUUUGCACAUUUGGUUUUCUUCGUUUUGAUGCCGAAUGAAUUCCGAGGGAUUGUUUGAAGUUUCUGGACACUCAACCUUUUUACUGAAAAUCAUAUAUCUCGUGCAUAGGCUUUUGUGAACCAUUGAUCGCUUAUAGAAUGUUGGCUUAAAAGAUCAAGGGCCACUUAAGCGAAGGGAAGCUGUAGGACAUGGCUCACUUAAGCAACAAACCCUUGGCUUUUGUGAAGGCCACUUAAUCGACCAUAGGCUUACUUAAGCAAAUGGUGCCUCUUAAGAGGGUUCACUUAUGUGUAGCCUAUGUUAGCUUAAGAGAUGUUCGCUUUUGUGAACAUUUGUCCUCUUUUGCGAAGACCGCUGGGAUUUAACCCAAUUUCUCCUCGUUUUUUGUUCAAACCUGAGACCCAACUCAUUAGAGCUCGACUUAGGGCAUUUUGGAGAAAUUCUUGAUGAGUUUCAACCACUAUGGUUAUGCUUUUCCUUUCCCUCUCCUCUACACUCAUAUGACUUUAAUUUCCUAAUUCAAAUUCAUUUCCGACCUCAAAUUUCUUUGUUUUUAAGCUUUAAAGUUUGGUAAUUUGGCCAUUUGAGGUCUGAAUUGAGUCUCGUUUUCGCCCAUCUUUUGGGAAUGUAAUUUUAUUCUGGGAAGAAAUAAUGGCGGUUUUAUUUUUGUAAUUCUGUUUCUUUGAUUAGAGGGUCAAUUUUUGACCCAAUUCUGAUUUGGAAUUGGGGUUAAUGAUAUGGGUAACGUUGGAUCCGUAUUAAUUUGCUUUUUGUGUUCUUGAUAGUUUUGCAACAAUUUGAGGCUCUCAAGAAGGAAAAAAUGCAUGAUUUAUUGUUCAUGUGUGGUUUUCGACCUUAAGGUAUGUUAUUUCUUUCUUUCCUUAGACUUGUCUUAGCAACACUAAUUAUAUUUGAGUAGUAUUACAUGAUUUAGGUUUAACCCUUUGGGUCUAUUGUGCUUUACUAAUCCUUGAAUAGUUAGGGCCAUAGGUUGGGUUGUUUAGCUUAGGUUUUAGUUGGAGAAUCCUUAGUUAAGGUGACUAUCCUUAGACUAUCCUUUUAGAUGGCGUGAAUCUUAGGAUUGUAUUGUGUUUGAUUGAUUUGGUUGAUGGCUUGGGUCCUUGUGUGAUUUUGUUUGUUUGUUUAACUUUUGGGCCUGAGGCCAUAGGUGUGGAUUGGCAGGAUUACUAGGUUAAUACUCUUGUGGUGUGACAUGUAUUUUUUCCUAGUUUUAUGUGUUUGAUAUGAUUUGAGUGUUAUAAUGCCUUUUGACGAGCUAUUACUUACAUGAUUUCUGAUGAAAAUGACUUGGCUUUGGGAAAUAAAACGGACCUUAAUGAGUUGGAAGUUUGUGAGACCAAUUUUGGCUUAAAUGUGGUAAAGAGGGCCUAUUUACUUUUCUUAUCGCACAUUUUAGCUUCUUACACUUUGACAAUGAGCUCGAUGUAUUAUUUUGGGCGGCCCAUUGGUUUAAGCUUAUCCUACAAUGUAUCAUUUAUAUUUACAUUGUUGAUAAGCGCAAAGUAACAUCCAGGCCGCCCAUUAAUACAUAUACUUACGUUAUUGGUAAGCUCGAUGUACCAUCCCGAUUGGCCCGUGCAUACCUCUAUCUGGGUUAUUAGAUUUCGAUUAAGCUUUUGGUAUCAUUAUAGGUGGAUUGAUGUUUCAUCUUGACAUAGGAGCUUUACACUGUAUCAUUGCAUGAAUUGGACUUUGAGUGUGUUGAUUAUUUGGGGUUUUGUGUGUAUCUUGCGUUUGAGUCUUGUUAUGAUAAAUUUUUCUCCAUCACUUGGUUAGUCUGUAUUAAUUUUCCCUUGUAUUGCUUGUAUUAUCGAGCCACUUUUAGAUAUUCGAUCUUUCUAUGUUGGACCGGCCUAUGAUGUCUAAUGAGUACCCCAUUUUUUGUCACGACCCAGGGGUACCCCUUAGAUGUAACAAGGCGUAUAGAACCUCGAAGGACUCCAUACACGCCACUUAGCAUAUCAUAACAUAAGAUGAUAGAAAAGUGCGAAAAUUUAAAACAUUUUUCCAAUACAAUCAAAGUUUCAUAAAAUGAAGUGGAAGUCUUACACUUGUCUCAAACCAUCUAAACCAUGAAUAUCUUUGGGACACAGCCCAUACAAUAGUUCUCAACAUGAAAUAAAGACAUAAAAUGAAAGGGUAAUCAAGUCCUCGAUGUUAUGAGGACUCACCAAAACUUCUCUUCUUGAUCUACUAUGAACCAAGACACGGGGAUGAAAGUCAAUAUUGCCGAACCCUACAUUUGAUAAGAAUCUAGGCAAGAGUAUGCGUUAGUACAAUAAUGUACUAAAUAUGAUGGAUAGCAUAAAUCAUCAACAUAAGCAUAAUGUAAGCAUUGGUCAACAUAUGACAUAUACCAUAAUCAUAAGAGACAUCAACACAAGGCAUAAGUUAUAGGCACAAUAGACAAUAACAUAAAUCAUAAGCAUAUUCAAUGCACCUAGAUCAACAUAGUAUAAGAGGAACACUUCAUAAGUAACCUCAAAGAAUGCUUGUGCAAUGCAUGGAUAAGACCCUAUAAAUCUCACCCAUGCUAAACAAACCAAAUUAGGCCCUCAUUCAUAUUCAUCAUCUUUUUGAUAUCAUCCUUAGCUUAUUUCUCAUAGACAAGGGAACAUUCACCUUUAGUCAAAUUUAUCCAGGAAAGAAACUAUAGCAACAAUCCAAGCUAAGCAUACAUCACACAACUAAACCUCAUAGCAAAACAUACUUAUAAUACUUCCUUGAAGUAACCUUAGUUCAUUAUUCAUGUUAAUGUUCUUGUUGUGGGAAUAAGACGUAACCGACAUGAGACUAUGUGAGCUAUAACAUGAUCACCCAGUGUUACCCACACCGAAAAAGGGUUGUCCUACAUGCCUAAGGUAGAACCAUGGUCUAUUAGUUUAGGUGGAUGCAUUAGCUAAAUAACCUAUGAGGCACGUAGUUUAUGGGAUACAAAGAUUUCUACUACAAACCCGGCCUCAACUGACGUGAGGGCUUCCAUCUCAAGAAAUUGCUUUCCAGAAACCUGGCCUCUAUUGAUGUGAGGGAUUCCAUCUCAUAUCAAUAUCCACUCGGUGCUAAGCAUUAAUCCCACAGAGUACGUAUUAAGUCUUGUCUUAAGUCAUAUUUCAUGGAAGUAUUUCCUUGACAAUCAGUCCUAUUUAGUUCAUGGGGAUAGCUCUUGGAUCAUGGGUGAGAAAACCUUUCACCGUUCAUGUCCACAUGUAAAUAUUUGAUUCAAUUAGGUGAGAAAGACUUUCAACCUAGAAUCUUCAUUAUGUGAGAAAACUUUUCACAUCAUUGUUAUUAUGAGUUCAUGAGAAUAACCUUUCAAUCAGCCCACAACAACAACAUAUUCAUUAACACUUCACUCUCAAAGUGUACUCAUAGCAUUUACAUAGAUUUCAUGAAAACAUGCACAACUCCAUCAACUUGCCCUUUCAAGGUUCAAGCCCUACUAUCAAUCAACACAUCUUGAAUUUAAGCAUUAGACAUGGAUUUCAUAAUAACAUGCAUAUCUUCAUAAUAUAGGUCAUGUGGGUAAAUCCUUCCAAUACAAUCCUAUCCACCAUUCAUCAAGCACAUAAGCUUCACUCUCAAAGUCUUAACAUUUAUAGUUCAUCAUAUUAUCUUUACUCCCAAAUCCUUAGCAAUUAACAUUCAUAAUUACAAGCCUUACUCUCAAAGCAUUACUUCUCACAAUCAUCGCACAUGCCUAGAUCUUAAGAAAUUCUAAUCACAUGCUUCAUUCUUAAGCAAUUUUUAAUCAUAUAUCAUCAUAUAGGUUAAAUCUCAAGCAUUAAUAAAUCAUAAUUUAUCAUGCACACUUGAUCUUUAAUCAAUUCAUGUCUAUGUGCUUUACUAUUAAGCAAUUCAAGUCCAUAUGCUUCCCUCCAAAGCAAAUCUAUAAUGCAAUUCAUCAAUCAUAGAAGAUUACAUCUAAACCCUCAACUUCCCCUGUUCAUGGCAUAAAACCCAACUAUGUCAAAUUCACCUUAGAAUCAUAGGUUAAGCAUGAAUACAUGAUAAUCAUACUAAGAACAUGUAAUUCCAUCAUAAACAAUCAUAAACAAUCAUAAUCCACUAUAUUGGAUCAUAACCCAGAACAUUAGAAGAAACCCUAGUUUGACUUAGGGAAUUUUUCUUCUAAAUUGGGGAAAACAUGGGGGCUUCAUGGAUGAAAGUACUCCAUGAAUGAAUAAGCCAUCAUACCAUGAUUACAAAGCCUACCAAGCUUGAAAAAAUGGAGACUUGACUUGACCUAGCUUGACCCACUUCUUCUUCUUCUUCACUUUCUAGAGAGAGAAUAUUUGAGAGAAUUAACUUUGGGGAAUUGAUUUGGGUUUUUGAAAAUAUGACUUAGUUUGGUGAGUUUUUACUUAAAAAUGACUUAUAUAGUGGUCCUAGACUUACCCAAAACGACUUUGAUUUAAUUGGACUAAAAUUGGAAAAGACUUAUUUAACCUUCAACUAUAGUGACCUGCCUUGCCUAGAGACCACAUGAGUCCCCAUGAGCCUUGGACCCGUUCAUGGACCAUGGGGCAGUGUCUAGGCAACCAUGCCUUAAGCCCCAAAAUCCUAAGGCUUCUUCACGAAGGGCUCCACGAGCUGUGGAUCUUACCACGAGCUGUGGUCCCUCUCGUGGGCCUUGAGGCAGUGGCAAAGCUACCCUCACUCAACUUUCAUGUAACAAGGCAUGACCAUGGCCACUCCGUGGAGCCAUCUAAGGCUUCACGAGUUGUGAAGUGGCUCGUGUGGAGAAGUCCAAUUUGGGGUAGCCUUAGAGGCGUAUUGACUCACCACCACGUGUGGCACCACUGGGCGUGGUGACCACCACGGGUCGUGAAGGCCCUCAUGGUCAUGGGCAGUGCCUUGGCCCUUGGCCUGUUACCUUUGCUCUUGCCUUCCUUCCUUGACUCUAACCUUCAUGUUUAGCUCUAGUUUAGCCUACAAAUUUCCGGGGGGUUACAAUUUCUCCCUCUUGGGAACAUUCGUCCUCGAAUGGCAUUCUAGGCAUCUCUUAAAGGAAACAACUCUUAACUAGCAGCCCAUCAUGCAUGCAACAUCAUAACAAUGCACAAAACGAUGGAAGAAACAUCACUCCAAACUAAACAUACUCAAUGCACCUCAAGGAAAGUAGGAACUAUUCCUAGCAACCAAUAUGCAUGAAGUCUCAAAUUUCUAAUCUUUUAAGGAGGAACUUCCUUCUCCAAGCUCAAGGCAUGCUCAACACUAUCUUAUGGAGGCUAUGUGCAAUUUACUAUCAAAAAGCAUAACUAAAGCAUGUCUAACAAUUCAUUUCAUGGAGCAUAUAGGCAACUCAUACUUAAUGCACAACAACACGAGGAACAAACAAUCAUAUAAUUCAUUUUCUUUCAAAACAUAAACUUUCAUGAACAUGCACCACAUAAGGAAAUCAUGGAAACAUCUAAAACACACAUGACUACACAUAAAGAACAAACCAUGAGGAACUCAUCAUCUCAAUGCUAAAUGAGGAAUACAAGGAAAAAGGAUGAGGAUAUCGGGACAUCUUAUUGGCCCUAGGCCUCCCAAGUAGCCUCCUCAACUAAAAACCCUCACUAAAAUAUCACUCAACAUUUUUAUGGAAGAAACUUCCUUGUUUCUUCUAUUUCUUAACUUGCCGGUCUAAGAUCUCAUAAGGGCUUUACAAAGCGGGGACUAAACUUUCCCAAACCCAAAUCAUGAACAUUAAGAACACUCAACGACCUUGCUAUCUAAGUACAUCAUCUCCCUCUUGGGAGUAAGCCUAUACGAACUUUGUAAGCACCAUUUCUUUCAACUCUAAGGUCAGAUCAAGUUAUCACAAAGUUUUCACGUCCAUCACACAAGAUGAUUCUAAACCAUGGUAAGUUGCACUACUACCCUUUUGAGGAGUCUACUCCUUCAACACCUCUAGCCAUUACUUAAACACCCUAUUCAUCAAACCUAUCAACAUAGCCCAAAACUCAUCAUGACUAAGUCAGGUUCUACCAUCAAAUAAACAUAAACAUAACCAUAAUGCAACCCAUUCAUACCAAAGACAACAUCAAAGUCGGACAUUGAAGUACCAGCUUCUCAAAUCGCAGCCACGUCUCGUAGAUUGGUUCACCCUCCAAGCAUUUGAAACCUUGGAUACUAUCUCUGAGCGUUAUCAUCUUUGAUGGGGGAAAGAAACUUACAUAGAACGCUGCUGUAAGUUCAUCCCAAUUAGUGAUGGAGUUCCUCGGUAAAUCAGCUAACCAUUCGGUAGCUUCACCCAUCAAAGAGAAUGGGAACAACUGAAGAUGAACUGAUUCUUGUGAUAUGUUUUUGAACGAGAAAGGACCACAUACGUCCACAAAGUUCCAAAUAUGCUCAUGGGGUCUUUAUGGGCCAGCCCUCUAUAUAGUUCUUUCAUUUGGAGGAGUUGUAGCAUUGUGCUAGUGACAUGGAAAACAACAUUCCCCUCAACAGAAGGUAGACGUAUUGCACCAACACCACCCAAUUGAAUUGGGUCAUUCACAUAAUUCAGAUUUCCAAUAUCUUCUUGGUGGCCAACUUGGCUGCCAUUACUCCCGUUCACACUCAUUUCUUGUUUUGUUCAAAACAAAUCAACACAAGCACAAAAUAGAGUAGUUGAUUCAGCUACAACACAAGAAUAUCACAAUUCAACUUCAAUAAUAAAAUUCUAAACACCGUUCCCCGGCAGUGGCACCAUUUUGAUUAACGCUCAGAUUACACCACUUCCAAUUCUAGGUGUAGAUGAUAGUUAUGUGGUAUAAAACCUAAUGAAGAGUUGGGAUCGAACCCACAGGGAGUGGUACAAUGUUCGAAUUCAAUUACGAAGUACAAAUGUGGUCUAAGCGGUUAUAGGAAUAGAAAUUAUUGAAAACAUACAAACAAGUCAAGGGGGUUGACAACGAAUGUCAGAUGGGAGGUUUGGAUUUGCAAUUAAUAGCUAAAACAAAUAGGAAAAUAGAGGAAACAACAAUAUUAAGAGGAAUUGUCGAGAUGUGAUCAAUUAUAGGCCAAUUUCGCUAUAUGUGUAAUUGAAAUUACUAAUGAAUUGCUAAAUCUCAAUGUGUAGGCUAGACUGCAAGUGCAACAAUUUUCUCUCGAACAACUAUAAUGAUUCAAGUGAGUUCUCUCAAACCUCAACAACAUUAUCAAUAUAAAUAGCCCCAAACCUUGAUACACCUACUUUCUCGAGCUAUAUAGGUAGAAUCAAGUUAAGAAUUCACUCUCUCGAGUUGAACCCAUAUCAAUCCAACAACUACAAUCAUUAAUCAAAGGCUUUGGUUCUAAAAACUUCUUUCUCAAGCAAGCCUAGAACUCUAAGCUAGAAUUCCAUUUGCAACUACGACUCAUCGAUUAAAACACAACUAAUGAUUAAACCCACUUCAAUUAAGCAUUUAAAUCAGUAAAUAACAAUACCCAUAAGCUAAUUCGACCAAUAAUCACAUGAUCACAACCAAGAAUUGGCAUUUUAGCUAAGCAUCAUAAAAAGAUAAAAACAAUUACCAACUAGAUUAGUCAUCAGCUGGGUAAAAUUCUCCAAGCCUUUUACAAUACUCUAAAUUGAUUAUGUUCGAAAACCCACUUGCAAAUCCCCAAAGUUAAGCUUAGAAAUCCUCAAAGUCUACAAUGGAAACUCAAAAACUAAGAGAAAACUCUAACUUUCAAACUUUGGGAUCAAAACUCCAGUCUCUGCAUUUAAAAUUUCAAUUUAUAGUUGUCCAAUUUUUGGCCUGAAUGGCCAUUGGGAAAAAUAAGUCGUGUCUCGCCGAACAGGUCAGCGAUCCGCCCUUUGCUCCCUUUCAUCACUAAUUUGCAUUAUCCAUCAGUCCUCCAGGUCCUUUAAGUUUGAGCGAUCAAGGUUGCCAUCGCGGAGUCAUUUGGCGAUUCAUCGACUGCCCAUUCCUGUCGCCAAGUUGGUUCUUCCGAGGGCUGGCACGUUGGAACUUUAGGCGAGCUAAAGAACCACUCGACAGUUUGUUGAGUAGUCUUGGCAAUCACCAAGAUUAAUUUUCUUCACUUCUCCAUCUUGUUAGUUCCUUUUUACCCACUAGUGUCCUUUUCUUUCUCCUUAGCCUUCAUACCUGCAAAUCAACACUUUAACAUCAUUUUAAAGCAUAAAAUAGGCAUUUGAGGACACUUAUACUAUCAAAACAAAGCCCUAAAUGAUUCAAUAUCUCAGACUCAUCUUUCUUACCCGAUGGUCUAUAGGAUAUGACUACUACAAGGGCUAAUGCUAGAAGGAAUGAGGAAGACAAUAUGAAUCAAGAAGUUCCUCCCCAAGCUCCUCCACAAGCGUCGAUUGACCCUUUGAAUGAGAAUGUAACAAAUGCGGAAUUUAGAUCGGCUUCCCAUGUAUUGGCUCAAGUCGUGACGGCACAAGCCAAUAUAGAUGUGGUAGUCCCCUUGAACCCAAAUGUGGGUAUGACAACGUCAAGAAUGGGAGACUUUACAAGGAUGAACCCUCUGGAAUUUUAUGGUUCAAAUCUUGAGGAAGAUCCUCAAAAGUUCAUGGAUGAGGUCCAUAAGGUGUUGGACAUUAUGGGAGUUACUCCCGUGGAGAAGGAGGAAUUGGCUGCUUACUAACUUAAAGGGGUUGCUCAUGUUUGGUUCAACCAAUGUAAAGAAGAAAGACCGGUAGGAAUGGGUCCCAUAGAGUGGGAAAGGUUCAAAACUGCUUUUCUUGAUAGGUUAUUUCCUUUUGAGAUGAGAGAGGCUUUGGUGCUUGAGUUUAUUAACCUUCGGCAAGGUAAUAUGAGUGUUAAGGACUAUUCUUUGAGGUUUACUCAAUUUUCACAAUAUGCUCCAUCUCUAGUGGCCGACUCUAGGUCGAGAAUGAGUAAGUUUGUGACGGGUGUGCCUGAUUUAGUGGUGAAAUAAUGUCAUACCGCCAUGCUCAUUGGUGACAUGGAUAUUGCUCGCCUUAUGGCUCCUGCUCAAAAGAUUGAAGAGGAGAAACUAAAAGGGAGAUCUAGGGAGAAAAAAAGGUCUAGAAAUGAUGAUGAUAAUUCCUUCCAUGCAAGGACCGAUAGACAUGGUCAUCCUAAGUAUCGACAAAGGUUUUUCGGGCAAGGUUCCUCUGAUUCUCCUAAGUAUAAUGAAGAUAGGGUGUCUAACCCUAAACCGCAAGGAAUGAGUAGUGAAUCCCUAUGUCCUACUUGUACUAGAUGUGGAAAGAGAAAUAAGGGUAGGUGUUUAGCCGGCAUAGAGGGUUGCUUUAGUUGUGGUGAAAGUUGCCACAAAGUGAGGGAUUGUCCAAUGGCAAAGGUUGAGAAAAGAGGUUAAGCAAUCUCCUCCUAGUGGUUCGGGUGCGAAUGCUCCAAGGAAAAAUAGGUUCUCUUCUCUCUAAGCUAGAGGUGAACAAGAGUGUCCCCCAAAUGUGACUACCAGUAUGUGUUUUAUGCUUUAUUAGAAUCUGGUACUGCUUUGUCUUUGGUGACUUGAUAGACUUAAUAUACUAGGUCUUGAUGUUAUCCUUGGUAGGAGUUUUUCGUACUCUUAAUUAUGUCUUGAUUGAUUGUAGAACCCGAUAUGGACAUUAUGAGUGUUGGGGAUGUCAUUGAUUUGGCCAAUGCUCCGAUGUCAUGUAUGGAUUGGAGGAAUAUGGUGUUUAGAUAAUUUCUUGAUGUUUUAUGUUAAUAGACUCCUCUAAAAGGUAGUAGUAUAGUUCACUAUGGCUUAGCAUCGUCUUGUAUGACGGGGGUGAAUGUUUAGUAAUGUUUUGAUCUAACCUUAGUUGAAUUGAAAUAAGCGGUGCUUAGAAAGCCCAUUUAGGUUGGCUCCCAAAGGGGAGAUGGUGUGCUUAGAUAGAAAGGUCAAUGUGUGUUCCUAAUGUUCAUGAUUUGGGUUUACUUGAAGUUCUCACCCAAGAAGAGUGUAAUGAGGUUUGGGAAGUACGAGAAGCUUAGUCACCAUUUUCUAGGCCCAUGUGAGAUCUUGAGACAUGUUGGUAAGGUUGCUUAAGAGCUAGAGUUGCCUAAUGAGUUAGCAUCAGUGUAUCUGGUUUUCCAUGUCUCUAUGUUAAUGAAGUGUGUUGGACAUCCAACAUUCAUAGAUCCCUUAGAAGGGUUGGGAGUUAAUGAGAAUCUCUCUUUUGAAGAAGUAGCGAUUGAGAUUUUAGACCGGCAAGUUAAGAAAUUAAGGAGUGAGGAAGUUGCUUCCGUGAAAGUGUUAGAAAGGGGUCAUUUAGUUGAGGGUGAUACUUGGGAGGCCGAGGCUGUUAUGAAGUCCCAUUAUCCUCAUCAUUUCAUUCGACUCCUCCUCUAGCUUGAGAUAAACAGUUCCUCAUGAUUUGCAUAUUUUAUGAAGUGUUGUGAAGUCAUAUCUGUUUUAGAUGUUCCCAUGAUUUCUUUAUGUUAUGCAUGUUCAUGAAAAAGCUUAAGUUUUAAAAGAAAAUGAGUUUAUGGGUUUGAUUUUCCUCAUGUUGUAGUGCAUUGAGCAUGAAUUGCCUAUAGACUUCAUGAGAUGAAUUGAUGAACAUGCCUUAGCUUGGAGUUGAGAGAUUCCUCCUUGGAUGUAUGCUAUGAGUAUAAAUUGCAUAAAGGCUCCAUGAGAUUGUGUUGAGCAUGUGUUUAGCUUGGAGAUGAUACUUCCUCCUUGAACAUGAGAGAGGUUCAAAUUUCAUGCAUUUUUGGUUGUUAGAUGUAGUUCCUUCCUUCAAUGUGAGGCAUUGAACAUGUUUAGCUUGGAGUCGAUGUUUCCUCCUUGAUUGUGUGCAUUUAGAUGAGUUGCAUGCAUGAUAGACUGCUAGUCUUGAGUCGUUUCCUUUAAGGGGUGCCUAGAAUACCAUUCGAGGACGAAUGUUCCCAAGGGGGAGAUAAUGUAACACCCCGAAUUCGAGAUAGAGGGCAUAACAUGUUAGAACUUUAAGGUGCCACCUCACAAAGACCAACCAUGGCUCGUGGGUGGAUCCACGUGUGGUAGAUGGCUCCGUGGAUGGGCACCAAGAGAACUCCCUAAGGCAGUAACCCCGCCAAGACCCACACUCAGUCGAUGGGUCUAUGACUCGUGGCUAGGGGAACCGUAGGUCGACCAAAAAGUCUCUGAAUCCACCUAUGCUUGACUACGACGAAUGAUAGGUCCAUCCAUGGUCUGUCAGCGGGGUCUCGCGGGCCAGGACUGUGCGGUUAUUUUAAGGACACAAUGGGACUUUCCGGUCUUAAUUAGAUUAAAGUGGUGUCGGUUUACCCAAGACUACACCACCUAUAUAAGUAUUUUAGACCCCUAAAUUCAUUCAUUCUAAGUGAUUAUUUCAAAACCCCAAAGAAAUCCCAAAAAUCCUCUCUCAAAUAUUCUCUCACUAGAAGGUGGAAGAAGAAGGAAGAUUUGAAGCUAGGGUCAAGUGAAGUCUUCAAUCUUCAAGAUUUUGUGGGAUUUUUAGUGAGUUAUGAUGACUUUUUAUCCAUGGAGCCCCCAUGAUUUCCCUAAUUUAGAAGAAGAAUUCCCCAAUUCUAGUUAGGGUUUCUUCUAAUAUUAUGGGUAUUGAUCUAAUUGAGUGGAUUAUGAUUGUUUAUUAUUGAAUUAAUAGAAUUACAUGUUUAUAGGAUGAAUUUACAUGUACCCAUGCCUAACCCAUGUUUCUAACCUAUAAUUGAUGUAAAUGGGUUAUAUGCCAUGAAAGGAGAAAUUGAGGAUUUAGAUGUAAUCUUCUAGGAUUGAUGAUAUACAUUAUAGAUUUCUUGAGAUUGAAGCAUAUAGAUAUGAAUUGCUUAAGGGUAAAGCAUGUAGACAUGAAUUGAUUGAGAUCAAGUAUAUAUGAUGAACUAUGACUUGUAGGCUUUGAGAUUAGAAUUGUCUUGAGACUAAGGCAUGUAUGAUGAAUGAUGAUUAGUAGAACUUUUAGAGUGAAGCUUAUAUAUUGAAUUAUAAUUAGUGGGGCUUUGAGAAUAAAGCUAUAUGAUGAUUGUUGAUUUGUCGAUAGAAUUGUUGUUGAAGGAUUUACCCACGUGAUCUACUCUAUGUAUGCAUGAAUGAAUAAUGUGAAAGGUUUUCUUACAUAGAAUGAUUCUAGGUUGAAAUGCUUGCUCACCUAAAAUGAAUCAAAGCAUGUAUGAAUUAUGAUAGCUUGAAGUAGUGAUAUGAUAUCCCAUCAUGAAUAGCUUGACUUGGUGAGACAAGACCAUGCAUAGUAGCUUGAGUUAGUUGAUCUCGUGGAUAGCCUUGGAUUGAGCAAUAGUACCCUUCCAAUGGUUAGCUUGAAUUAGAAUGAGAGGAUGCUUGCAUGAUAGCAUGACUUGGUAAGGCCAAACCAUUUCAUUGGUAGCUUGGAUUGAGAAACAGUACCCUUCCUUGAGUAGCUUGGACUUGCAUAGAAAGGUGCUUUCCAUGAUAGCUUGGUCUAGCAUAAUGAGGUGUUUUUCCUUGGUAGCCUUGAAUUGGUAAAUUGUAACCAUUCAUGAGUAAUAAAUUAUUUUUUAUUGGUAAGAUGAUAUGCCUUCCAUGAAUAGUAGAAGUAUCUAAAGACGGACUAGUCUCUAAUCAAAGUAGCAUAGUUAUGAUGAAACAAGAUUACUUCAAGGGAGUAUUGUAAGCAUGUUUUAAUAUGAGAUUUACUUGUUGUAAAGAUAGAUUAGCUUGGAUUGUUGCUUGAGUUGCCUUCCUUGAUAUGUAUGACCCGAGGUGGAUGACCCAAGUCUUGACUAAGGAUAAGUUGAGGUCACUUGAGAAGUAUUCCUCUUACAUUAUGAUGAUUUAUGUGCAUUAAUUAUGCUUAUGACUUAUGUUGUUAUCUCUUAUGCUUAUGGAUAUUGUCUUAUGUUGACUAAUGCUUAUAUUAUGACUACAUUGAUGUUUAUUAUUGCCAUCAUAUUUAGUACAUUUGUACUAGCACAUACUCUUGCCUACAUUUCUUAUCAAAAUGUAGGGUCCAAUGAUAUUGAUUCUCACACACUACAUAAAAAAUGAUCAUUAGCGGUAAUUAAUUAACGACAAUAACUUAAUUGCUGUUAAAUAUGUAUUUUUAGCAGCAAUUAACACUCAUUGUAUAUGUCCCUAAAGUCUUUAGCAACAUUGGUUCUAAUGACACUUAACUAAUGCCAGUAAAGACUUUAGCACUUUUUAUUAAUGUCUAUAUUUAUUACCGCUAUAAGUUGUUUUUGUUGUAGUGACACUCGUGGCUAGGAUCAUAGUAGAGCAAGGAUUGAAGAUUUGGUGAGUCCUCAUUGCAUUCGAGGAUUUGACCACCAUUUUCCCUUUAUGUCUUUCAUUUCAUUUUAGAACUAUUGUAUCGGCUGUGUCCCAAGAUUUAUUCUUAUGUUGGAUGGUUUGAGACAAUGAUGUUAGACUUCCACUCAUUUUAUAAAGACUUCGAUAUUGUUGAAAAUGUUUUAAAUUCCCGCUCAUUUCUAUUAUCUUAUGUUAUGAUAUGCUAAGUGGCUUGUAUGAGGCCUCUUGGGGUCUUGUACGCCAUGUUACAUCUAGGGUGUACCCUUGGGUCGUGACAAAAAUGGUCUAACUUCUUUGCAAAAUUAUUCUUUCUCAAACCAACAAACGAGUUAAGCAACAAUAUGAACUUAAUUUAAAGGGCAUUAUUCUAAGCCAAAUUAAUAUACCAAACCCAAUAUCUAAAUGAGGGGAAGGUGAGUGACUAUGUCUUGCUAACAUUCUUAGUUCGUUAGUUUGCAUAAAUUCAAAUAUAAAUUGAAACAAACACAAAUAUAAGUGCAAAAAAAUGUACAAAUCGUUAGUCAACGAUAACAACAUAUAUGUAUGCAUAAAAAUGUAAAGUUUUGAGAUAAGGAGGAAGUGCGAGAUUUUCUUUUGGGAGGAGAAAGUCAUUCUAGACGAGCUAAAAUGCAUAUAUUGGUCGCUUCUCUAAUUUGGAUAGAGAUGGAGUCAUAUCGCAACUCCAAACGCGCUCCCCUCCCCAGUGUACAUGUAUAACAGAGAAAGGAAAAAGAGAUUAGUAAGACGAUUUAACUUUAGAUGAUAUUUAAUAUAUAAAUAAACCAAGCAAAAUCAUACAAUAAAUAUACCACUCUGGAACAAGAAGAUGGAAACGUCGGACAAGACACAUUUUUUGCAGCAGGCGACCAACUAAAUAUAACCAAAUCACAUAUAUUUUGAGCACAUGCCAACAUGAAUAACCAAGUCACAGUACUUCAAAUUUACACAUGCCACACACACGCACGCGCGCGCACAUAUAUAUAUAUAUAUACUAAUAGAAUUAAUAAAGAAAUUUUAAAACUCAUAUUUUUAUGGGUAUAGGAAAGAAGAGGCAAGCUGCAUUUGAGACAUUUGCACAAUCAAAAAUUACAUUCUUCACAAAACAACAUAUGCGCGCGCGCACAUAUAUAUAUAUAUACUAAUAGAAUUAAUAAAGAAAUUUUAAAACUCAUAUUUUUAUGGGUAUAGGAAAGAAGAGGCAAGCUGCAUUUGAGACAUUUGCACAAUCAAAAAUUACAUUCUUCACAAAACAACAUAUGCGCGCGCGCACAUAUAUAUAUAUAUACUAAUAGAAUUAAUAAAGAAUUUUUAAAACUCAUAUUUUUUAUGGGGUAUAGGAAAGAAGAGGCAAGCUGCAUUUGAGACAUUUGCACAAUCAAAAAUUACAUUCUUCACAAAACAACAUGAUCUGCUCAUCAUUUAAAAAAAAAAAACUAAAACACAACAAAACUAUAUCUUUUAAAACAAGUUUUCUGUAUUGAAAAACAUGAACUGAAAACUCUUAUCACAUGAUCAUCUAUCUGGAGUAAAAGAAACAAAACUAAUUCAUGUAAUCAUGAAAAGAAAACAGUUUUGAAGCUCAACGUCUAAAACACGAAAAUUAAAAUAAAUUCAAUCUUUGUACAGAUCUCAAAACAGGGUUCAAAUACAUUCUUUAACCUUGGUUUUUACCUUGGCUAUAGAUAUAAGGUCUAUUGAAUAUAUAUCUAAGAGGGAGGGAUUAACUUCCAUAAUCAUAGCUUAAUACAAAACAGAACAAUGAUCAUGGAUCAUAGACUAUAUACUGUCCAAAAUUCACAACAUAAAAGAAAGCUAACAACAUGAACAAACAUCCCGUAAAACGAAGAUCCUAAAAAAUGUGAUUUCUAAUGAUAAAAUAAAGAGAUUCGAGUCAGAUUUUCACCUGUUUCGGGGCAAUGAACUGAAGCUCUUUUGACCUCGGAUAUACCCCUAAAGUUGGACUAAUUCGGACUCGACCACGCACAAGAAUCCAAGGACAAUGAAAAAUAAUAAAAAGUUGGAUAUUUCCAAGAGUAAAAGAGAUGUUUUAGGCAGUUUUUGGUUGUGU
rnacentral:lncRNA from 1 species